rnacentral:lncRNA from 1 species
GUCUCUCCUCAGGCUCAGCACGUGAUGCCUUCUCAGCCCAUAGAUCCCAGCCCACUUCCUAAGUCGGGCCCUGUUUCAUCCUUACAUAAAAGAAAACUUUCACAUUUCAAAGUGCGUGGAGUGUGGCACAUUGUUUAGAAAAGUGCACUCAGGAGGCUUUGGAGACAUAAAGGGAAGCCAGGGUUGAGUUUGGGGACAGGAAAUGGAGAGGCUGAACUGCUCUGCACAGUGACUUUCAGAAGGGAUUGUCCAUGCUGCUGGGACCAAGAGCAGAGGCCUGGGCCGGCAGAGGUGAGCACGGCAGUUCUCAAGUGAAUGCCCGGUGUUAACCACUAGUUGUUGCACUGCCCUGACAUGAAGUCCUUCUGUCUCCCCAAAGUCCCCAAAGUCUGACUUAUUAAUAUAUGUGCGAUGUAGGUUGUUCUGUGCAAAAAUGAAGGAAAAGGAGGAAUUUCACAACCGGAAGCAGUGGAAGGUAAGAACCCUGCGGUGAGAUGAGGGGGACGGUGUGGGGGAGCCGCAGUACCCAGGAGAGCGAAAUCCCGGAUUUUGCAGGACGCUUCUUGGCACAGGAUUGAAGGAGUGGAUGAGAGACGGCAGACCACCGGUGACCACGGUGGGGUCCUUGCCAUCCUCCCACGCCAGUGGAGGAAAGAGGGGCAGAGCCCCAUGGAGCUCAGACGGGGACCACACUUGCCCAGUGUUACACAGCUGGCAAGCAGGGAUUAGAAUGCCGACCCACAUCCCUUGCCCAGCCACGGAGUUCCUCGCCAUUAUUCACCACCUCAGAGGCACCCAGAAGGAGAUAAUCAAAGAAAUCCUACCAGAUUUUUCCUACUAUGGCAGAAUCCUUUGCCUGUCGACCUGCCUGGAGAGCAUAACCUUGCUUUCAGCCUGUGACCUUCCUCCCCGGCUGUCCUCCAUCCUGAAGAUCUGAGGUUUACACUGUCCUUCUUAAUGUUUCGCCCCCCAAUACUGACAUCCUGGGCUGGGCUCCUUAUGAGCAUUUGCUUGCUGGGUAGUUGCUGGUUAAUUCACUAGUGUCUUCACCUUGUAACUUGUGAUGCUUGCAUGAUUCACAACAAGCACCAGGCUGAACUUGUGCCAUCCAUCAUGUGCAGCUGGCCUCCUGGGUGCGUUUCUCCCAGCUAUAAGCUCAUGGUGCUGUCUCCUGAUGGCUUCUGUCCCUAGAGCUGUUCCUGAUGACUGCUGGCCCCGAGGCUAUCGCCUAAUGACUUUGUUCCCUGAGGCUGUCCUCAACUGCGGCUGUCCCUGGGGCUGCUCCCAGAAUUCUGGGUGAUACUCCGCUAAGGAGGAUUAGGCAAUCAAGCCACAGAAUUAUAGGCUGGAGAAGGAAGGAAGCUCUGAGUGGGAAGAGGACUUGGUAGUGCAGUGACAACGCAUCUCUGUUUGUUGAAGACACCCCCACUUGUCUAUGGUACCAGUAUGAUUUUUACAAAAUCCUCUCACUCUCGAGCACUGCCUCAGGGUGGUUGAUAAAUUAUGCAUGAUCACCCUACUUUAGGGGUCACCUAAAGUGGAUUGAGCUCAACCCUGACAAUCUUUUCUUCCUAUAGAUAUUCUUGCUGUUUGAUGUACAAAACAAAAAAGAGAGAUGUUCUAGAAAAGGGGUGGAAGAGGUUGAAGCCCCCCCAUUAUCACUCCCGGCCCCACCCACCUGCUAUGACAGUCCCUCCGCCAGCCAGUGGGAGCCUUAGAUCUCAGCGCGUCACCUAGGAUACCUCCUGUUCUGACAGACACAGAAACUGGGGUUAAGGGGCUCAUGAAGGUCAUACCACUGGGUUAGUAUAGAAGAGCCUGACUAGAACGCAGAUAUGCAAAACCCACCGCGAAUUCUCCAUCAUACCAAAACUCCUCCCCACUUACCAAAUGGUUUUAAGACGAAGAAGCCAAGUGCUGAAUACUGUGCGAGCUAGCCACAUGUGUGUGUAUAAUUUUUUCUUAGAAGAUAUAUCUCUCUUCUUGUACACACUUUCUUGGUGUGACUUGUUUUGCUUACCAAAACGACCCCCAGUUCCAUCCAUGUUACUGCAGACAGCAGGGUUUUUCCUUUCUAUGGCUGAAUAGUAUUCCACUGUAUAAAUACAAAACAUUCUCUUCAUUAGUCCCCUGAAGGUCACCAGGGUUGAUUCCAUAUUUUUGGUACUGUGAAUGGUGCUGUGAUAAGCACGGAAGUGCAAAUAACUC